AGAGUUUGAUCCUGGCUCAGGGUAAACGCUGGCGGCGUGCCUAAAACAUGCAAGUCGAACGCAUGCCCAUCUUCGGAUGGGUGUGAGUGGCAGACGGCUGAGGAACGCGUGGAUGACCUGCCCCGUGGUGGGGAAUAACUGCCCGAAAGGGUGGCUAAGACCGCAUGCGCUCCCAUCUUCGGUGGUGGGAGGAAAGCCUCGCGAGAGGCGCCAUGGGAGGGGUCCGCGUCCGAUUAGCCAGUUGGUGGGGUAACGGCCUACCAAAGCGACGAUCGGUAGCUGGUCUCAGCGGAUGAUCAGCCAGACUGGGACUGAGAGACGGCCCAGACUCCUACGGGAGGCAGCAGUAGGGAAUUGUUCGCAAUGGGCGCAAGCCUGACGACGCAACGCCGCGUGGAGGAUGAAGAUCUUCGGGUCGUAAACUCCUUUCGAUUGGGACGAACUUCUUGGGGGUUAAUAGCCUCUGAGGUUGACGGUACCGAGAGAAGAAGCCCCGGCUAACUCCGUGCCAGCCGCCGCGGUAAUAC
rnacentral:rRNA from 1 species